GACGAACGCUGGCGGCGUGCUUAACACAUGCAAGUCGAACGGAAAGGCCCUGCUUUUGUGGGGUGCUCGAGUGGCGAACGGGUGAGUAACACGUGAGUAACCUGCCCUUGACUUUGGGAUAACUUCAGGAAACUGGGGCUAAUACCGGAUAGGAGCUCCUGCUGCAUGGUGGGGGUUGGAAAGUUUUGGCGGUUGGGGAUGGACUCGCGGCUUAUCAGCUUGUUGGUGGGGUAGUGGCUUACCAAGGCUUUGACGGGUAGCCGGCCUGAGAGGGUGACCGGCCAAAUUGGGACUGAGAUACGGCCCAGACUCCUAGGGGAGGCAGCAGUGGGGAAUAUUGCAAAAGGGGGGGAAGCGUGAUGCAGCAACGCCGCGGGGGGGAUGACGGCCUUGGGGUUGUAAACCGCUUUCGCCGGUGACGAAGCGGGAGUGACGGUAAUGGGUAAAGAAGCACCGGCUAAAUACGU
rnacentral:rRNA from 1 species